GAAACGAUAGCUAAUACCGCAUAAGAGUAGAUGUUGCAUGACAUUUGCUUAAAAGGUGCAAUUGCACCACUACCAGAUGGACCUGCGUUGUAUUAGCUAGUUGGUGGGGUAGCGGCUCACCAAGGCGACGAUACAUAGCCGACCUGAGAGGGUGAUCGGCCACACUGGGACUGAGACACGGACCAG
rnacentral:rRNA from 1 species